rnacentral:misc_RNA from 1 species
AAGCUUGAAGUAUCAUCUCCACCUACAUAGAAAAGUAGUAAUAAUAAUAAUAAUAAUAACGUUAACAAUAAUAAUACUUGCAUACAUUUACUCUCAAGCCUCCAGAUUAAGGUCUUUGUGAGUGUAUACAAUUUCUUUAUCACCAUCAACAACUUGUCCAGAUCCCCUUGCAAGCCAUCUAGUUGUCAGCAAUCCCUCAACUCCAACUGGACCACGAGCAUGAAUGCGACUUGUACUAAUCCCCACCUCUGCACCAAGUCCAAAGCGGAACCCAUCACUAAAUCUUGUGCUUGCAUUAUGAAG